rnacentral:rRNA from 1 species
AUGAACGCUGGCGGCAGGCCUAACACAUGCAAGUCGAACGGAGUUAUAUUGUAGCUUGCUAUGGUAUAACUUAGUGGCAGACGGGUGAGUAAUGUAUAGGAAUCUACCUAGUAGUACGGAAUAAUUGUUGGAAACGGCAACUAAUACCGUAUACGCCCUACGGGGGAAAAAUUUAUUGCUAUUAGAUGAGCCUAUAUUAGAUUAGCUAGUUGGUGGAGUAAUAGCCUACCAAGGCAAUGAUCUAUAGCUGAUCUGAGAGGAUGAUCAGCCACACUGGAACUGAGAUACGGUCCAGACUCCUACGGGAGGCAGCAGUGGGGAAUAUUGGACAAUGGGCGAAAGCCUGAUCCAGCCAUGCCGCAUGAGUGAAGAGGGCCUUUGGGUUGUAAAGCUCUUUUAGUGAGGAGGAUAAUGACGGUACUCACAGAAGAAGUCCUGGCUAACUCCGUGCCAGCAGCCGCGGUAAUACGGAGAGGGCUAGCGUUAUUCGGAAUUAUUGGGCGUAAAGGGCGCGUAGGCGGAUUAGUAAGUUAAAAGUGAAAUCCCAAGG